rnacentral:rRNA from 1 species
GCUGGCGGCAGGCUUACACAUGCAAGUCGAGCGGAGAUGAGGUGCUUGCACCUUAUCUUAGCGGCGGACGGGUGAGUAAUGCUUAGGAAUCUGCCUAUUAGUGGGGGACAACAUUCCGAAAGGAAUGCUAAUACCGCAUACGUCCUACGGGAGAAAGCAGGGGAUCUUCGGACCUUGCGCUAAUAGAUGAGCCUAAGUCGGAUUAGCUAGUUGGUGGGGUAAAGGCCUACCAAGGCGACGAUCUGUAGCGGGUCUGAGAGGAUGAUCCGCCACACUGGGACUGAGACACGGCCCAGACUCCUACGGGAGGCAGCAGUGGGGAAUAUUGGACAAUGGGGGGAACCCUGAUCCAGCCAUGCCGCGUGUGUGAAGAAGGCCUUAUGGUUGUAAAGCACUUUAAGCGAGGAGGAGGCUACUGAGACUAAUACUCUUGGAUAGUGGACGUUACUCGCAGAAUAAGCACCGGCUAACUCUGUGCCAGCAGCCGCGGUAAUACAGAGGGUGCGAGCGUUAAUCGGAUUUACUG